rnacentral:rRNA from 1 species
GACGAACGCUGGCGGCGUGCCUAAUACAUGCAAGUAGAACGCUGAAGGAGGAGCUUGCUUCUCUGGAUGAGUUGCGAACGGGUGAGUAACGCGUAGGUAACCUGCCUGGUAGCGGGGGAUAACUAUUGGAAACGAUAGCUAAUACCGCAUAAGAGUAGAUGUUGCAUGACAUUUGCUUAAAAGGUGCAAUUGCAUCACUACCAGAUGGACCUGCGUUGUAUUAGCUAGUUGGUGGGGUAACGGCUCACCAAGGCGACGAUACAUAGCCGACCUGAGAGGGUGAUCGGCCACACUGGGACUGCGACACGGCCCAGACUCCUACGGGAGGCAGCAGUAGGGAAUCUUCGGCAAUGGACGGAAGUCUGACCGAGCAACGCCGCGUGAGUGAAGAAGGUUUUCGGAUCGUAAAGCUCUGUUGUAAGAGAAGAACGAGUGUGAGAGUGGAAAGUUCACGCUGUGACGUAUCUACCAGAAAGGACGCA